AUUUUUAUGGUGUAAUUAACACGUUACAUUUUCAUUGUAAAACUGAAAAUCCUUUUUCUAAAAAUG
rnacentral:tRNA from 2 species